rnacentral:rRNA from 1 species
UACGUAGGGGGGCAAGCGUUGUCCGGAAUCAUUGGGCGUAAAGAGCGUGUAGGCGGUCCGGUAAGUCGGCUGUGAAAGUCCAGGGCUCAACCCUGGGAUGCCGGUCGAUACUGCCGGACUAGAGUUCGGAAGAGGCGAGUGGAAUUCCCGGUGUAGCGGUGAAAUGCGCAGAUAUCGGGAGGAACACCAGUGGCGAAGGCGACUACCUGGCCUGUUCUUGACGCUGAGGCGCGAAAGCUAGGGGAGCAAACGGG